AUUGAACGCUGGCGGCAGGCCUAACACAUGCAAGUCGAACGGUAACAGGAAGCAGCUUGCUGCUUCGCUGACGAGUGGCGGACGGGUGAGUAAUGUCUGGGAAGCUGCCUGAUGGAGGGGGAUAACUACUGGAAACGGUAGCUAAUACCGCAUAAUGUCGCAAGACCAAAGAGGGGGACCUUCUGGCCUCUUGCCAUCGGAUGUGCCCAGAUGGGAUUAGCUUGUUGGUGGGGUAACGGUUCACCAAGGCGACGAUCCCUAGCUGGUCUGAGAGGAUGACCGGCCACACUGGAAGUGAGACACGGUCCAGACGACUACGGGAGGCAGCAGUGGGGAAUAUUGGGCAAUGGGCGCAAGCCUGAUGCAGCCGUGCCGCGUGUAUGAAGAAGACCUUCGGGUUGUAAAGUACUUUCAGCGGGGAGGAAGGGAGUAAAGUUAAUACCUUGGCUCAUUGACGUUACCCGCAGAAGAAGCACCGGCUAACUCCGUG
rnacentral:rRNA from 1 species